CCUCAGCUGCCCUUGGCCCUGCCCCCGGCCCGCUCUGUCCGCCCGCCCCAGAGCUUCUACCUCAGGGCGACUCAGGGGCCUGCACGUCCUCAGGAAGCACUCGUUCCAAGCGAGCCUGGUCUCGCGGGAUCCCGCCUAGGCUGCGCAGAGGGUGCUGGGAGGAUACGCGUGGUGCCGGUGUGCCCCGCCGCUUCCCACACUCCCGUCCGUAAGGAGUCAGCUUCCCGCCUCCUGUCGGGCAACCCCUGAUGAUCGGGACGGGACGCCUGGGCCUCCCCUCCGCCCGCCAGAGGCCCGGUGCAGGGGCACGCACCUGGGCAGGUGCGGAGGUUCCCACGCGACCGGAAGGCUGUGUGGGAGGGGAGGGACCCUGAGCCAGGAAGGGAGGACUGCGCAUGCGCAGGCUCUAGCCGGCGGCAGCCUUCCAGGAAGGCCUGGCACGUGUUCCAAAGAUGAGGAAAGAAGGCCAUCCCCUAGACUUGUCGGCUUGGAAUUUCAGAUCACGAAGAAAGACAGGCCUGUAAGAGCUUCAGCUGAAGAAAACACUAUUUCAUUACAAAGGAACGAGAAUCCGUCUGGCAUUAGCAACCGUGGAGGCUAGAAGACAGGGAAGCGAUGCCUUCAAAGACUAUGACCAGCCGAACUCCCAGCCAAGGGUGAAAGCAAAACAAAACAAAAAUCCAGACAGGCAGGAAUCAGAUGGUUCACCCCCAUACACGUCUUUUUAGUGGAAGUUACCUGAGACUGUACUCCAGGAAAACGAAGGCAUAUCCAAGGAAAAGAAAGACAGGCUCUGGAGACAGUGAUCUCAACGUGGGAGGACAAGAAAGAGAAGUUCUAGGAUAACAGGGAUGCGGAAGACUGGAGACGAAGCCAGGCAGCGUGGAACAGGAGAAUGGAGAUCUGGGGAGACGGGGAGCUGCACGGCCGGUGUGAUGUGGAGUCUGAAAAUGUGAAGGAGGUGAUCGAGGCAAAUGAUGCAAGAAAGCCAAAAAGCAAGUCAAUAUUUUAGGUCUUAAAUUCCUGGGAGCUGCUGAGAAGUUAACUCCUGAGGUUGGAUAAAAUGGCCUUUGAUCUACCCUUUUAUCUGAAAGGCUCUCAAAGGAAAUUAUAUAACAAUAAACCUUCUUUCCUAAAGCCCCGAAAACACAAUUAACCGUAAGAAACAAUUUAAGAUAUGUCACAUAUGUCUUGGAUUCUAUCCAAAAAAGUUUAGUUCCUGAAGCACCAGCUCCUUACAAUGGCCCCACCCUUCAAGGACAUAGUUGACACCAUGAUGAGGCUGACAACAGUUACAUGAGAGCGCGGCUGCAGCAUCCAUACAGCUUAGGGUAGAUUCUGGAUACAGGGCAUCAGAAGUUAUACUUUAUAAUAGGCCAUUGUGAUAGAAAUUUCUCCUCGUUCCAUAUAUAUAUAUAGAUUAUUGCUGAGUUCAAUAUUGUUUGAAGACAUAUUGGAUGCCUAAAGAUUACAGCUAACAUAUAGUGAUAAAUAAAUAUGUGCCUGGCACUGACUAAGUGUUGACUUUUUCAUAUGAAGCAAAGACAUACUUUUUUAGUGUCAAUGCAGGAAUGUUAAAUAUUCUCAAACAUAGGGAUAAUGGAAAAAUUUAGGUUUUUAGGUAGGGUAAUUCCUGAGUACAG
ensembl:lncRNA